CAAAUUUCUGCCCUAUCAACUUUCGAUGGUAGAGUAGUGGUCUACCAUGGUUUCAACGGGUAACGGGGAAUUAGGGUUCUAUUCCGGAGAGGGAGCCUGAGAAACGGCUACCACAUCCAAGGAAGGCAGCAGGCGCGCAAAUUACCCAAUCCCAAUUCGGGGAGGUAGUGACAAUAAAUAACAAUAUAGGGCUCUUUUGGGUCUUAUAAUUGGAAUGAGUACAAUUUAAAUCACUUAACGAGGAACAAUUGGAGGGCAAGUCUGGUGCCAGCAGCCGCGGUAAUUCCAGCUCCAAUAGCGUAUAUUAAAGUUGUUGCAGUUAAAAAGCUCGUAGUUGAAAUUUGGGCCUGGACGGGCGGUCCGCGAAAGGGAUGAACUGGUCUGGCUGGGUCUUUCCUCUUGGUGAAUCGGGAGUGUCCUUCACUUGGUGCCAGUCCGGGGGGAAACCAAGGGGAACAUUUUACCCUUUGGAGGAAAAAUUA
rnacentral:rRNA from 1 species